CAGCAGCCGCGGGAAUACGGAGGGUGCGAGCGUUAAUCGGAUUUACUGGGCGUAAAGCGUGCGUAGGCGGCUUGUUAAGUCGGAUGUGAAAUCCCUGAGCUCAACUUAGGAAUUGCAUUCGAUACUGGGAAGCUAGAGUAUGGCAGAGGAUGGUAGAAUUCCAGGUGUAGCGGUGAAAUGCGUAGAGAUCUGGAGGAAUACCGGUGGCGAAGGCAGCCAUCUGGCCUAAUACUGACGCUGAGGUACGAAAGCAUGGGGAGCAAACAGGAUUAGAUACCCCAGUAGUCCCUGUCUCUUAUAA
rnacentral:rRNA from 1 species